AGUGAACGCUGGCGGUAGGCCUAACGCAUGCAAGUCGAACGGCAGCACAGUAAGAGCUUGCUCUUACGGGUGGCGAGUGGCGGACGGGUGAGGAAUACAUCGGAAUCUACUUUUUCGUGGGGGAUAACGUAGGGAAACUUACGCUAAUACCGCAUACGACCUACGGGUGAAAGCAGGGGAUCUUCGGACCUUGCGCGAUUGAAUGAGCCGAUGUCGGAUUAGCUAGUUGGCGGGGUAAAGGCCCACCAAGGCGACGAUCCGUAGCUGGUCUGAGAGGAUGAUCAGCCACACUGGAACUGAGACACGGUCCAGACUCCUACGGGAGGCAGCAGUGGGGAAUAUUGGACAAUGGGCGCAAGCCUGAUCCAGCCAUACCGCGUGGGUGAAGAAGGCCUUCGGGUUGUAAAGCCCUUUUGUUGGGAAAGAAGAGCAGCAGGUUAAUACCCCGCUGUUCUGACGGUACCCAAAGAAUAAGCACCGGCUAACUUCGUG
rnacentral:rRNA from 1 species